rnacentral:SRP_RNA from 1 species
AACCAGGACCCAUGCGGACAGACGCCGCCCAAUCCCGCCAGGCCCGGAAGGGAGCAACGGUAAGCGGAAGCCUGCCGCGCCGUGGUCAUCCUGGUUUCG